UACCCUUGACAUGUCAGAAAUCCCUGAGAGAUUAGGGAGUGCCCGCAAGGGAAUCUGAACAC
rnacentral:rRNA from 1 species